AUUGAACGCUGGCGGCAUGCCUAACACAUGCAAGUCGAACGGGGCAGCAAUGCCUAGUGGCGGACGGGUGAGGAAUACGUAGGAAUCUGCCCUUAAGUGGGGGAUAACCAGGGGAAACCCUGACUAAUACCGCCUGAUCUCUUCGGAGCAAAGAGGGGGACCGCAAGGCCUCUCGCUUCUGGAUGAGCCUACGUCUGAUUAGCUAGUUGGUAGGGUACAGGCCUACCAAGGCGACGAUCGUUAGCUGGGCUGAGAGGAUGACCAGCCACACUGGGACUGGGAGACGGCCCAGACUCCUACGGGAGGCAGCAGUGGGGAAUAUUGGACAAUGGGGGCAACCCUGAUCCAGCCAUGCCGCGUGAAUGAUGAAGGUCUUAGGAUUGUAAAAUUCUUUCACCGGGGACGAUAAUGACGGUACCCGGAGAAGAAGCCCCGGCUAACUUCGUGCCAGCCGCCGCAGUAAAAC
rnacentral:rRNA from 1 species